rnacentral:rRNA from 1 species
CCUACGGGGGGCUGCAGUGGGGAAUAUUGGACAAUGGGGGGAACCCUGAUCCAGCCAUGCCGCGUGUGUGAAGAAGGCCCUCGGGUUGUAAAGCACUUUCAGUGAGGAAGAACGCCUGGUGGUUAAUACCCAUCAGGAAAGACAUCACUCACAGAAGAAGCACCGGCUAACUCCGUGCCAGCAGCCGCGGUAAUACGGAGGGUGCGAGCGUUAAUCGGAAUUACUGGGCGUAAAGCGCGCGUAGGUGGCUUGAUAAGCCGGUUGUGAAAGCCCCGGGCUCAACCUGGGAACGGCAUCCGGAACUGUCAAGCUAGAGUGCAGGAGAGGAAGGUAGAAUUCCCGGUGUAGCGGUGAAAUGCAUAGAGAUCGGGAGGAAUACCAGUGGCGAAGGCGGCCUUCUGGACUGACACUGACACUGAGGUGCGAAAGCGUGGGUAGCAAACAGGAUUAGAUACCCCUGUAGUC